AGAGAAAGUAUUGAAGCUGUCCUUUGGGGUCGACAAGCUACAGAUUUUCCAGCUGAACAAGUUAUUGAAGAAAGAAAAAGAACUCCAAUAAUUAUUCUACUCCUCGGAAUAACUUGCAAAUCACGUGAAGGUCAGUUGAAACUCCAAGGAAGCACCACAUGCCAGUGGCAUAUUAAUCCCAUUAUACCUGAAGCAAUUGCACUUCAAAACAGAUUCAAAGCAUAUCCACAUGAAGUAUCGUGGUUAAAUGCACCUACUACAAGCGCUGAAACCAUAACAACAUCCAUCAAUGAUCUUGCAGAUGUCACUAACCCACACAAAAUAUAUG